UACGAAGGGGGCUAGCGUUGCUCGGAAUCACUGGGCGUAAAGCGCACGUAGGCGGAUUGUUAAGUCAGGGGUGAAAUCCUGGAGCUCAACUCCAGAACUGCCUUUGAUACUGGCGAUCUUGAGUCCGGGAGAGGUGAGUGGAACUGCGAGUGUAGAGGUGAAAAUUCGUAGAUAUUCGCAAGAACACCAGUGGCGAAGGCGGCUCACUGGCCCCGGUACUGACGCUGAGGUGCGAAAAGCGUGGGGGAGCAAA
rnacentral:rRNA from 1 species